CGCCUUCCCUCGCCUCAGCUAAGCAAACCCCAAACUCUCCGAAGUCUUCCUGUGCAGCCGGAAGACUUUUCCAUCCGUUCAGCUUCGCUCAGGUGCCCCAAAGUGCCUUGAUCGCCCCCCUUCUUUUGUUAAAUAAGGGACCAUCUUUCCCCCGCACCACCAUGCCAGGACCGACAUUGCUACAACAUUUGGGAAGCAUAUGAAAAUAGAAAGAGGCGUCGCUCUGCGCAGCAGCAGCAGUGUCGUGUGGAUGCACUCUGGUGAAGCAGCACAGUGUAAGCAAAGACCCGCUGAAAGCGAGCUAGCGAGUGAGGGAUGCUUACCCAAAAACUAGAGCCGCAAAAGUCGUCCAUGGUGCCCAUCUGAACAGCGGGNGGGCCAGCUCGUGGGACCCCGGGAGAGGAGCCCCGCCCGCCACGACCGGUCUCGUCCCGCCGCUUGUUUCGAGUUGUUCCUUCUCCAAGAGCAGCAGCUGCCUUGCCUGACGCCCCGCUUCCCUUCCGCCAGGCAGUCUAGGGCGGAUGUUCGCCUCAGGAAGGUGGGCGGGGAACGAAUGGACUUGCCUCAGCGUCCGUGCCGUUGAAGUUGUUAAGCCCCGUCGUCGUGCAGAAAAGGGGGGUCUUUCCCUGCGGCGGGGGGAGCUGAUGAUUGCUGCUGCCCCUGCUCGUGUGAGGGAGCGCGCCGCCGACGGAGCGGAGCCUGUUGCUGCUGAAAGCCAUUCACUUCAGGGCGCCUCGUUGGGGUAGGAAUGUAGCAACGCUCUCGAAUGCUUUUUCAAAUAACCAAGAUGAUGAUGUCCCUCAUACAUGAAGACCAGGUUUAAAGACCUAGCAAGGUGAGAACUCACUUGAACUUACCUUGCUCUUGGGAAUACUGGUUUUAUUGGGGGAAAAUAACUCUCACCACUCACUAACUCUACUAGUGAGAUGUUUUAUGCCAAGGCUUUAAAAAUAGUAAACUGGCACAAUGCUCCAUAAAAGAACAGAAAUCGGAACACAAACUGUAUUGAAAUAACAAGAAAAAGGUUUUAAAAAGGCAGAAUGACAGACCUUGACAAGAAUCAGCUGGGCUGAAGCUGUCAGAGACAAUAGAGCAGCAUGCAGUUUCAAUACAGGGAAAGAUAGAGAUCUUGCUCCCUGGAUUGUACUGUGCAUGUGCAAGGGUCAAAUAAGGUAAAAACCUCNAUAGCAAUGGCUUUUUUUUAUAAAUGGAUGGGUUCAAAUAAGGACAAUUUUGACAAGUUUAGCUGAAAGAGGCUAAAAGAAGGGAAAAGCAACCUGAAUCUACCCUACACUAACCCAGGAAAACCCUAGCUCUGCUAGCUCUCACCCUCAGAGGCAAAGGGGGUUUGUGAUAAUUGGUUUUGCUGCUGGCAGGAGGCUCUGAAGUCCACUAGAGUUACUGAGGUCCAGAAGAGCACAACUCUGUAUCAAAGUAGCAGAGGAGCAGUUCUUUGGCUCUCUGCCCUAGACAAGGUACAGAUUGGAAUCAGAGAAAGGUGUAGCUGCUUUGGGCUGAAGUAGCAGGACAGUAGGCAGAAUAACAGAGUGGAACGAAGCGGAGCAGAGCUUCUUGUGGUAGCACAGCAGCUGUUCCAGAUGACGGGAGCAUGGAUCCUGGAGACAGUGGGUGAUGAAAGUUUGUACUGGACUGCAUUGCUAUGCACAUCAGGCUCCUGGGGCUGUCC
ensembl:lncRNA